GAGCGUCGUCUUUAUCAUCUGUUGGAUUCGAGACAACAUACGGUGUAACCAUGAUGAAAGUCGCUCUUAUUCUGGGAUGCCUUUUGAGCCUGACUCUGGCUGUUCCUGUACAGGAAGAGCACCAGCGUGUGGCUCGCUCGGGGUCAUGGUCUAAUGAGGGAGGGUUAUUCUCCUCCUCCUCCUUCCUGAAUCCACUGCUUUUUCAGCUUCUUCUUAACCUGUUCACCACAACUACCACCACAACUACCACCGCAGUUCCGACCACCACCUAAUUGACACUGUACUGCAGUAUGCUUAUGACUUAGUGCAAAAUAAAAUCCCAUUGAUUCAGGAAAAUCCAGUGUAUGUUUCUUUCACUGUGUAAUUACUGGAAAAAUAUUAUUUAAUACAUGUUUACAGCAAGUUACUGUACAUCUAACGCGUGUUCAGCGCAUGUCAAUUUGGAAUUAAAUACAUUUUGAACUUAACUAACAAA